UUGGUGAGGUAACGGCUCACCAAGGCUUCGACGGGUAGCCGGCCUGAGAGGGCGACCGGCCACACUGGGACUGAGAUACGGCCCAGACUCCUACGGGAGGCAGCAGUGGGGAAUAUUGCACAAUGGGCGAAAGCCUGAUGCAGCAACGCCGCGUGCGGGAUGACGGCCUUCGGGUUGUAAACCGCUUUCAGUAGGGACGAAGCGAAAGUGACGGUACCUACAGAAGAAGGACCGGCUAACUACGUGCCAGCAGCCGCGGUGAUACGUAGGGUCCAAGCGUUGUCCGGAAUUAUUGGGCGUAAAGGGCUUGUA
rnacentral:rRNA from 1 species